UUUUGGACAAUGGGGGCAACCCUGAUCCAGCAAUGCCGCGUGAGUGAAGAAGGCCUUCGGGUUGUAAAGCUCUUUUGUCAGGCCCCCAACCCCCCGGCUCUAACACAGUCCGGGAAUGACGGUACCUGAAGAAUAAGCACCGGCUAACUACGUGCCAGCAGCCGCGGUAAUACGUAGGGUGCGAGCGUUAAUCGGAAUUACUGGGCGUAAAGCGUGCGCAGGCGGUUAUACAAGACAGGCGUGAAAUCCCCGGGCUUAACCUGGGAAUGGCGCCUGUGACUGUAUAGCUAGAGUGUGUCAGAGGGGGGUAGAAUUCCACGUGUAGCAGUGAAAUGCGUAGAUAUGUGGAGGAAUACCAAUGGCGAAGGCAGCCCCCUGGGAUAACACUGACGCUCAUGCACAAA
rnacentral:rRNA from 1 species